GAUGAAGAACGCAGCGAAAUGCGAUAAGUAAUGUGAAUUGCAGAAUUCAGUGAAUCAUCGAAUCUUUGAACGCACCUUGCACCCUUUGGCUAUUCCGAAGGGUAUGCCUGUUUGAGUAUCAUGAACACCUCAACUCUCAUGGUUUGCCAUGAUGAGCUUGGACUUUGGGGGUCUUGCUGGCCUGUGGUCAGCUCCUCUCAAAUGGAUUAGCUUGCCAGUGUUUGGUGGCAUCACAGGUGUGAUAACUAUCUACGCUUGUGGUUUUCCACCAGGUAUCCUUCAGCAAUGGGGGUUCGCUGGGGCUCAUAAAUGUCUCUCCUCAGUGAGGACAGCUCUUUGAACGUUUGAUCUCAAAUCAGGUAGGACUACCCGCUGAACUUAAGCAUAUCAAAAGCGGAGGA
rnacentral:misc_RNA from 1 species